AACGCGAAGAACCUUACCUGGGCUCGAAAUGUAGUGGAAUCCGGCAGAAACGUCGGCGUCUAGCAAUAGACCGCUAUAUAGGUGCUGCAUGGCUGUCGUCAGCUCGUGUCGUGAGAUGUUGGGUUAAGUCCCGCAACGAGCGCAACCCUUACCCUUAGUUGCCACCCGCAAGGGGGAACUCUAAGGGGACUGCUCCGGAUAACGGAGAGGAAGGUGGGGAUGAGGUCAAGUCAGCAUGGCCUUUAUGUCCAGGGCUACACACGUGUUACAAUGCAUGGUACAGACCGUUGCAAACCCGCGAGGGGGAGCUAACCGGAAAAAACCAUGCUCAGUUCGGAUUGCAGUCUGCAACUCGACUGCAUGAAGCCGGAAUCGCUAGUAAUGGCGUAUCAGAACGACGCCGUGAAUACGUUCCCGGGCCUUGUACACACCGACUGUAC
rnacentral:rRNA from 1 species